AAUAGAUACCCAGGUAGUCUACGCCGUAAACGAUGCGCACUAGGUUCGAAGGUCUCUGACGAUCCUCGAGCCGAAACAAAAGCGUUAAGUGCGCCGCCUGGGGAGUACGGCCGCAAGGCUAAAACUCAAAGGAAUUGACGGGGGCUCGACACAAGCGGUGGAGCAUGUGGAUCAAUUCGAAGCAACGCGAAGAACCUUACCUGGGUUUGACAUGUACGGAUGCCCUCGGGGAAACUCGAGUAAGCUGCCUUCGGGUGAAACGUAUACAGGUGCUGCAUGGCUGUCGUCAGCUCGUGCUGUGAAGUGUCGGGUUAAGUCCCUUAACGAGCGAAACCCUUAUCGCUAGUUGCCAGCGGGUCAUGCCGGGAACUCUAGUGAGACUGCCGGCGUCAAGCCGGAGGAAGGCGGGGACGACGUCAAGUCAUCAUGGCCUUUAUGCCCAGGGUGUCGCACGUGCUACAAUGGGGUGUACAGAGCGACGCAAGACCGCAAGGUGGAGCAAAUCGCAGAAAACNCCCCUNAGUUCGGA
rnacentral:rRNA from 1 species